CCGGGAACCCCGAACAUCCCCUUUCUCUACUCUUUCCCUUUGGAGUCUAUAGAGGGAGAAGCAGAGCCUAAGGCUUCAUCAGUUUGAAUACUGGCUGGGGCUGGGCAAGUUAGUGGCUCAAAGUGUUGAAUCUGUCCCUAAAGCAGGGACAGAAAUGGAGGCUCAGGAGGUAGAGGUGGCAGUGGGCGUGCAGGAGAAGCUGUAGGUCAGGAGGUAGAGGUGGCAGUGGGCGUGCAGGAGAACUGUAGGUCAGAGUGGAGAGGUGGCAGUGGGCGUGCAGGAGAAGGUGUAGGUCAGGGGGUAGAGGUGGCAGUGGGCGUGCAGGAGAAGCUGUAGGUCGGGAGGUAGAGGUGGCAGUGGGCGUGCAGGAGAAGCUGUAGGUCAGGAGGCAGAGGUGGCAGUGGGCGUGCAGGAGAAGCUGUAGGUCGGAGAGGGUGCAGAGUGGAGAACAGAUGAGCUGGAGUCACACCAUGCCCUAUACCCAGCCAGAGGCCGAAGUGAGCCUGUCACGGUAAUGCCACUGCCUGCUUGAUUCCCUCCCAUGCCUAGCCUGGGUUCUUCAUGAUCCCUGAGGCCCUCUUUGAUGUCAUCCCGCUGCCUCAAAACCUGUGUGUGCUGGUGGCUCCCUCUGCUUUCCUUCCAGAUGACUCCUUCGCUUCAGCUCAAAUGUCACCUUUGGCUGUUAAAAUCCUUUCCGGAGGAAGUUGUAAACAAUGCCUACCCCUCCUCCCGAGGUCUCUGAUUCCACUCCAGGGAAGAUUGCUCUGGGGGAGCCAAUGAGUUUGUUGGGAUUACUUCCAGAGCAUAGGUGAGGGGUUAGUUACUUGAAUAUGAGUGCUGCCCACCAAAAGACCGCACUGAAAAGUCUUUACCCAGCAGGGGUGAUGGU
rnacentral:lncRNA from 1 species